rnacentral:lncRNA from 1 species
GUUUGACAUAGAAGCCAGCACAUAGCACUUUAUCCGAUUGUCAUCAUUCGUCCACUUAUCUAGUGCAGCUCUCUGCUCUGCAGUAGGAUAGUUUGGCAAAGGAGGGAGAGGGUCCUGGUCGAGAACAUAUCCUAGCUUUUCAGAUAUCAAGAUAAUCUUGAGAUUUCUGAGCCAGUCCUUGAAAUUAGUUUCGAUCAAUCGGUUGGACUCUAAGAUACAGACUA